UGAACAAAGUGAUAUCUGUCAUCAAGUUCUUCACAUACAACACACCAAUCAUCUUAUCAACAUCUGAACUUCCUAAUUCCUGCAAAUCAACUAACCCUACAACUAAUAAGUUAUAUACAACCAUAUUCUCAUACCUCUGUGGCCGUCUAAUUUGUCUUCUCUCUCUAUCUGUUACAAUACUAUAUGCACUAUCACCUUCUUAAUUAAGAUCAUGCACUUUAUUCCAAGGAUCAUUGAACUGAACUUCUAACUAUGUUUGUUUUCUGACAUUGUGAUCUGAUUCUAUUAUUAUCUUCCCCUACUGACUGUCUAGUGAACCAGACUUAUUAAAUGUCAAAUUUAUACUGAU
rnacentral:lncRNA from 1 species